rnacentral:rRNA from 1 species
GUCGAACGAAGUAGCAAUACUUAGUGGCAAACGGGUGAGUAAUAUGUGGGAAUCUGCCUAUCGGUCUGGAAUAACAUGAGGAAACUUGUGCUAAUACUGGAUAAGCCUUUACAGGGAAAGCUUUAUGCUCCGAUAGAUGAGCCCAUACUUGAUUAGUUAGUUGGUAAGGUAAUGGCUUACCAAGACAAUGAUCAAUAGCUGAUUUGAGAGGAUGAUCAGCCACAUUGGGACUGAGACACGGCCCAAACUCCUACGGGAGGCAGCAGUGGGGAAUCUUGCACAAUGGGGGAAACCCUGAUGCAGCGAUGCCGCGUGAGUGAAGAAGGCCCUUGGGUUGUAAAACUCUUUCGUCGGGGAAGAAAAUGACUGUACCCGAAUAAGAAGGUCCGGCUAACUUCGUGCCAGCAGCCGCGGUAAUACAAAGGGACCUAGCGUAGUUCGGAAUUACUGGGCUUAAAGAGUUCGUAGGUGGUUAGAAAAGUUGGUGGUGAAAUCCCAGAGCUUAACUCUGGAACUGCCAUCAAAACUUUUUAGCUAGAGUAUGAUAGAGGAAAGUAGAAUUUCUAGUGUAGAGGUGAAAUUCGUAGAUAUUAGAAAGAAUACCAAUUGCGAAGGCAGCUUUCUGGAUCAUUACUGACACUGAGGAACGAAAGCAUGGGUAGCGAAGAGGAUUAGAUACCCUCGUAGUCCAUGCCGUAAACGAUGUGUGCUA